rnacentral:rRNA from 1 species
UACGAAGGGGGCGAGCGUUGUUCGGAAUUACUGGGCGUAAAGGGCGCGCAGGCGGCUCUGAAAGUCAGAUGUGAAAGCCCCGGGCUUAACCUGGGAAUUGCACUUGAUACUCUGGAGCUUGAGUACGGGAGAGGAGAGUGGAAUUCCCAGUGUAGAGGUGAAAUUCGUAGAUAUUGGGAAGAACACCGGUGGCGAAGGCGGCUCUCUGGACCGUAACUGACGCUGAGGCGCGAAAGCGUGGGGAGCAAACAGG